rnacentral:rRNA from 1 species
CAGUAGCCGCGGGAAUACGAAGGGGGCUAGCGUUGCUCGGAAUGACUGGGCGUAAAGGGCGCGUAGGCGGCGGCCAAAGUCAGGCGUGAAAUUCCUGGGCUCAACCUGGGGGCUGCGUUUGAUACUUGGUUGCUUGAGUGGGGAAGAGGGUCGUGGAAUUCCCAGUGUAGAGGUGAAAUUCGUAGAUAUUGGGAAGAACACCGGUGGCGAAGGCGGCGACCUGGUCCUUUACUGACGCUGAGGCGCGAAAGCGUGGGGAGCAAACAGGAUUAGAUACCCCUGUAGUCCCUGUCUCUUAUAC